rnacentral:rRNA from 1 species
UACGGAGGGUGCAAGCGUUAUCCGGAUUUACUGGGUUUAAAGGGUGCGUAGGUGGGUCUGUAAGUUAGUGGUGAAAUCUCCGAGCUUAACUCGGAAACUGCCAUUGAUACUAUAGGUCUUGAAUUAUCUGGAGGUAAGCGGAAUAUGUCAUGUAGCGGUGAAAUGCUUAGAUAUGACAUAGAACACCAAUUGCGAAGGCAGCUUACUACGGAUAUAUUGACACUGAGGCACGAAAGCGUGGGGAUCAAACAGG